rnacentral:misc_RNA from 1 species
GUCAAAGACAAAAAGAUUUAUUCGUCUUAUAUAUAACAUAAUAUAAAAUCUUUAUCCUCAAUUAAUGUGCGACAACUGACUUUGCAAAUAUAUCUACAAAUGUCCCAACAUUAAAACAGUUAAGCUCUAACCUAUUGUAUCAGGAAUUGACAAUCACAAAAAUUGAAGACUAAAGAGCUCCUAAAACUAGAGGAACUGCUGACUUUGUGAUGUGAAUAAUUCUGUUGCACAAUCCAUAGAGAUUUGCAAUUUUGAAUUCAUCUGUAUGAGUUGGAGGAAUCACAUUCCCUCCUCUUCCACGGUAAAUACAAUUCCUUUAAAUGUUGGAAUACAACCAGAACCUCCUCCAUGAAGGCCACCAAAAUGAAAAUGAAAUCAGUUUGAAAAUACCGUCAACAACUCAUAUUUUAUGAAAACCAAUAAUAAAAAAAUAAUGACCCAGUAAAGAACAUGCAAAACAGAACACUCACAUUCAUUUAACAAUCCACUAUAUCAACUCUUCAAUGUGUAAUCCUAUUCAUGCAUGCCCAUCUUUUUCCCUUUGUUUCCCUUGUUUCCAUUCUUAGCUGAGCCCUUUCCUGAUCCUUUACCCUUUUGACCCUUUGCGUUCUUACCCUUCUUUGAAGCACCUUUUCCUGGCUUACCCAUACCACGCGCCCUUGCAUCCUUUUUCAUCCUCCGAUCAACAAGUACUUUCCCCUUUCCAGCCUUCACUGCAACUCCUUUCUUUGCAACAACAUAUUCCUUCUUAGGCCUUUUAGGCGUUGCCUUCUUAUAUAGUUGUUCAAUCAUUUUCCUCUUGGACCGAUCAGAGAUAUCUGUCUGGUCUGAUAUGGUGUUUGCCUUCUUGCGAACCUUCUCAAGCUUCCUCAUUGCCACCCGUUUCUUUUUAGCCUUGGCCUCUGCCACCUUCUUAGCAGGUCGGGCAUUUAUUUCUUUGAAUUGUGCUCGUAUUGCAGCAAUCUCCUCUUUGGUAACAGGCUUCAUUGGCUGGCAGUGCCUCUUCUCUUCUUCCACAAACCAGCUGGGCAAGCCCUCAUCAUCAAACAUAUACUUGUUGUAGGCAUCAUCAAGCAUCUGUUCCCUUUGUUUUUUCCUCAGCAUCUUCUUAGCAUAAGCCAAUAUCUCAGCCUUUGUUUCAACAUCAUCAUUGUCAGAAUCAUCCGAAGAUGAAUCAUCACUAGAAUCUGUAGCUGGAGCAGGGACUAUCUCAAAAUCUUCUUCUGUCUUUGAAGUUUCAGGUUGAUUGUGUUUCAACCCUGCAGCAAUUUUUGCUGUCUUUUCCGGAACAGCAAGCUUUUCCUCCUGCCUAUCUACCUGCAUUUCAGCUUCACUAUCAUACUUUUCCAAGUCUCCAUCCUCUGCAGCCUCAGCAAAGACACCCUGCGCAAACCAUUUGCUUGUUAUCUCUUCUUUGGUUGGCACCUCCCCAUCAUUCAAUGAUACCACGAGAGGAUUGGCUUCCUGAUCACCUAGGUCUUCAUCCGAAUCUUGAUCGGAAUGAAUAACAACAUCGUCACCAUCACCCUCCAGAAGUUGUUUGGAAUAGGCCUGCCUUGCACGUUUGCGCUGCUUAGUACUUCCUUCCUUUUUGGUCACAAACCGUUCAUACACCUGAUCGAGAAACUCUUCCAUUUGUUCAUCAUAUCUUCUCUGUUCUUCAUCAGAAUCUAUGACACUGGAUGAAUGCUCCUGAGCUUCAUCAUUCUCAUCAUCAUUUUCACUAUCUCUUACCUCACCAUUCUCAUCAUCAUUUUCAGCAGAAUCAACAGCUACAAGAUCUUUUUUUCCCUUGAUGGAAGAAAGAGAAAACAAUUCAUGAUCAGUGUAGCCAUCUUCCAUUGCAUCUAUUUGCAUUCCUGUUGCCUUCCGUGCCUUGUCCUUAGUUCGUCUUUUUGCAUCUCGUUUCUUUGCUUGUUUCUUCUUCCGCUCCAUAGCACAAGUCAGCUCCUCCAUUUCAUUCAAUAAUUUAUCAUCUUCAUCCUCAUGUUUCUUUUCUUCGCCAUCAAUGGCGGUAGUAGAACUAGCCUUUUGAGUAGGAGACAAGGACUUCCUUACAUGCAUCCGCCACUUCAAUAGAUGUUUGAAGUCUUGCUUUCCCAAAACACGAAGAUCAUCACAAAGUGUUUUAACCUCUUCUGUUGUUAAAGCAUGAUCCCUUAUUGGCAAAGAAGUUGGGUCUUCAAACGAUAUAGAAGUAACUGAACCAAGGAUUUCAAGAGGUGUGUCAGACCAAACAAAAUCAGCAGCUGAAGACACUUUCCUCACAAUGCUUUCCCCAUCUUCAUACCCAUCACGGUGUCGCUUUUGCUUUGUUCCUCUGAGUACAUCUAUUACCUUUCGAACAGGUUCUAUGGUUCCCUGAAAUAGGUGUUUCACAUCAAGAAGUCGUGGAUCAAUCUUUGCAGGGGCCUUGUACUUCAAGCCCACAAGAAAUAUUUCCGCAGAUGUUGAGCGACUUGCAGAUGGUUUAUCCACCUCAACCUUUUCAAACAACUGAUGGAGACAGUACAAGACUGAAUUGUAGUCUUGAGACCUGAAAACUUUGGUAACAAAGUUGCCUUUUGGAGCCAAGAACUGUGUAGCCAAUUUCACAGAAUCAAUCACAAGUGCAUUCUGAGCCAUUGCUUCUUGCGCCCACGCACCACCAAUAUUAGGGGAACCGUCGUGCAAAACUAAAUCAAAAGCCUUCACUCCAUUCUCUCCCAUAAUUUUCUUAAUCCUAGCUUUACACUCAGACUUGGUUAUAUCCUGCUCGAUCGAAAUCGCCCCACGGAUAGGCGCAAUCCUAACCAAAUCGAUGCCAAGGACAAGGCUGCCAACGGGCACGCGCUCAACCGCCACCUGCAUCCAACCGCCAGGGGCAGCGCAGAGGUCGAGAACGGCGCGAGAGGAGUGGAGAAAGUGGAAUUUGGAGUCGAGUUGGAUGAGUUUCCAUGAAGCACGGGAACGGUAGCCGUGUUCUUUGGCGAGAUGGUAGUACUUAUCCAAGCGGUGCUUACCUUUCGCCUUACCCAUGGUAGGGAUCUUGGAUUUGAAAAUGAGAUUUGUUCAACCUCUAUCAAUCAAUUUUCAUAUGAAUCUAGAAGCUGAGGUUUAUCUAGGGUUUUCAGCGAGUGUCUCUCUCAAUAGACGAGCAGAGGAAGAGGAAAUAAAACCCAGAGGCAGAGUCGG